GACGAACGCUGGCGGCGUGCCUAAUACAUGCAAGUCGAGCGAAUGGAUUAAGAGCUUGCUCUUAUGAAGUUAGCGGCGGACGGGUGAGAAACACGUGGGUAACCUGCCCAUAAGACUGGGAUAACUCCGGGAAACCGGGGCUAAUACCGGAUAACAUUUUGAACCGCAUGGUUCGAACUUGAAAGGCGGCUUCGGCUGUCACUUAUGGAUGGACCCGGGUCGCAUUAGCUAGUUGGUGAGGUAACGGCGCACCGAGGCAACGAUGCGUAGCCGAGCUGAGAGGGUGAGAGGCCACACUGGGACUGAGACACGGCCCAGACUCCUACGGGAGGCAGCAGUAGGGAAUCUUCCGCAAUGGACGAAAGUCUGACGGAGCAACGCCGCGUGAGUGAUGAAGGCUUUCGGGUCGUAAAACUCUGUUGUUAGGGAAGAACAAGUGCUAGUUGAAUAAGCUGGCACCUUGACGGUACCUAACCAGAAAGCCACGGCUAACUACGUGCCAGCAGCCGCUGUAA
rnacentral:rRNA from 1 species